rnacentral:rRNA from 1 species
AUGCCCUCGCGCCAGCCCCCGCCGCCCGAUGCCUCCCCGCCCCCGGCCGCCGCCGCCGCCGCCGCCGUCGUCGGGGGCCUCGGAGCCCCCGCCCGCCACCGGCUUCCGGCCUCCGCGGUGGCCUCCGCCGCGGCCUCGGCCGCCGCGUCGGCGCUUCUCCUGGCGGCCUUCGCCCUCUUCGUCUGGCUGCGUCGCGGGAGGAAAAGGCGGGCCGCGGCGGCGGCGGGCGCGAGGGCGCAGCCCGCGCCCGCCCUGCUGCGGAGGCUGUCGUACCAGCAGCUGCGGCGCGCCACGGGCAGCUUCGCGGCCGGGAGCAAGCUCGGGCAGGGCGGAUUCGGCCCCGUCUUCCGCGGCGCGCUGCCCAGGUCGGGCCAACCCGUGGCCGUCAAGGUCAUGAACGCCGCCGGGUCCCUCCAGGGCGAGCGCGAGUUCCACAACGAGCUCUCCCUCGCCUCCCAUCUCGUCGGCUCCGGCCACGCCUCCACGCCCUCCAUCCUCCUGCCCUUCGCCUACUCGCUCUCCGCGCACCCCUGCCGCCGCCGGAUGAUGCUCGUCUACGAGCUCAUGCCCAACGGCUCGCUGCAGGACGCGCUGCUGGGGAAGAGGUGCCCCGAGCUGGUGUCCGAGUGGCCGCGCCGCCUCGCCGUCGCCCGCGACGUGGCCGCCGCGCUCCAUUACCUCCAUUUCGUUGUGCAUCCGCCGGUGAUCCAUGGGGAUGUCAAGCCUAGCAAUGUGUUGCUGGAUAGCGAGCUCCGUGCUCGCCUCUCAGAUUUCGGGCUCGCGCGGAUCAAGUCUGAAGAAGAAGAUGAGUUAGAUAGCGGUGUACUUGGGGACAAUGCGGUUGGAAAUGGAAAUCCAGGUGGUGGAUGCCAUGAUGAUGUAUCAGUGGCCGGCGAGAGCAUGACUGCUGUUGUAGUGAAUGGGGAAGACGGUGCCACCAAAUCUCCAGAGGAUGAUGAGGGGUUCACCACUGCCUCACAUGCAGAGGCGGCAUCAACUUCCGGAUGCGAUAAAACUAGUGUUGGUAGUGGAUUCAAUGGUCGAACCUGCAAUGGUGGGGGUGCUGCAGCAUCAGGAGCUAGGAGUGACUGGUGGUGGCGUCAAGAUAAUGCUGCCGGCACUGGUGGUGGUGGUGUAAAGGAUUAUGUGAUGGAAUGGAUUAGGUCGGAGAUCAAGAAGGAGAGACCGAAGACCGAUUGGAUUUCCGGAGCAUCUACAACCACCCCUACCACCUCAGCAGAAAAGAAGAAACCAAAGCGUAGGGCGCGGGAGUGGUGGCGUGAGGAGUAUGCCGAGGAACUCACCAAGAAGCAAAAACGGCGGGCAAUUGCUAAGUCAAAGAGUGAUGCUGGCGUGAUGACUGGCUUGCAGUGGUGGGAGAAGGAUUGUGAUUUAGAGGAGAAGGGACGUUCAAGGUGGAGGAUGAUGAAAAGCUGGAGUCGGAGGAGCAGCAAUGGCAAUGGCAAUAGCACCAUUGAUUGGUGGGUUGACGGUGUAAGGAGUAGCAAAGAUUGGGCUAGUACAGAAUUUGUACCUAAGAGUGGUGGAGCAGUGAGCAGCACACCAAGCAUGCGUGGCACAGUCUGUUAUGUGGCUCCUGAGUAUGGUGGCGGCGGGCCUCUAUCAGAGAAAUGCGAUAUGUACAGCUUCGGUGUUUUGUUGUUAGUUCUUAUUUCUGGACGCCGCCCACUCCAAGUGACGGCCUCGCCCAUGUCUGAGUUUGAGAAGGCGAGUCUGAUUUCAUGGGCGAGGCAUCUCGCCCAUGUUGGCCGCUUGCUUGAUCUUGUGGACUCUGCACUCCUGGAUGUUAACCGUGACCAGGCGCUGCUAUGCAUCACUGUCGCACUCCUGUGUAUCCAGAGGUCGCCAACCCGUCGCCCGUCAAGCGAGGAGGUGCUUGAAAUGCUCUCUGGUGAGGGUGAACCACCACAUCUCCCUGUAGAAUUCUCACCGUCGCCUCCUGGUGGGUUCCCUUUGAGAUCCCGCAGGAAAGGCCGGUGA